GAUGUCUUCAUCCCUCCUUCAUCUCUGAAGAUGGGGGAGGUGGGGGGGCUAGCCCCCCCCUCUUCUAGGCUGUGAAGACCCAUCUGGGUGGGGGAACAGCUUCCUCUGUCCCCACUCAGGACGGUGGGAUCACCUGUGGUGUGGCAGUCAUUCGGGGAGGCGCUGGCUUAGAGGCUGGCGCUGGGGCUGCUGGGGGAGCCGUGGAUGGCAGGCUUGUCACCAAGGCGUGGGUCCCGUCUGCUCCCUGGGGGACGCAACUGCCUUCAGCUAGGACCUUGUUUGGUAGAGCUGGCGCUGCGUCUGCUGCUGGGCCCUCAGAUAGCAACGGUUACCCAAAACCGAGUUGGCCUCUUGGUGGGCUUUAAGCCAAAACAUACAACCAAGUCCAAUGACAGGAAGAGGAAGGGUUUACUUGCAACAAGUCAAGGACCUUUCCCUGAGCCGUAUCUCUCCGGACAACAAAACUGGGGAGCUUGUGAGCACAGGCCUCUCGCAGUGGGGGCAUGGCCUAGAGUUGCGGCAGAAGUCCUCUUGCGGUGACUGAGUCCCGAGGCCGGCGGGGACCCUGGUGCUCAGAGGGGUUCAGAUCCACAAGGACUGCUCAAGCGCACACUGGAAGGAGUGAUUUGUCAGGGACCCACCCAGACUCGAAGACGAUGUUAGGACCUGCUCCCCGGUGUCCAGCCAGCCCUGGGGUCCUGGAGGAAGCAAGUGGAGGGGCCCCGGAGAGAGACCCCAGGUGGGGUUCCAGCUCCCAAGUCCCAGGAGUGGCGCCCUGUCUUCCCCUUGGCCAACCCGCUUGGAGUGCGAGCAGAUUCUCCGAGUGCCCGCCGCUGGUGGCAUGCAUGGCCCGGCCCCAGCAGCGCCCCUGCGGUGGCCAGAACGGGCCAGUGGAGGCGGCAAGCACGUUCUGCUGAGCUCCUACGGGCGCGACCUGAAGAAACAUCUGAUUCAGCCUUUUCCAGUCACCCGGCAGCUGUCUCUUCUUCAUGGAAAUUUUAAAAUGACGUUUCUAUUUUCAGUUUUGAUUCCAUUAAAAUCUGGCAUAUUCCGGUCUUCCUGAGAGUCUCGCGGAAGCGUGAGGUGUGCUGAGUCCCCGGUGGCCGGCUCGGGUCAUCACGCUCAUCACUGCCGGACAGACCGUCCCUCGGCGGCCCGGCCCACCAGGGGCAACCGCACGUGCCCAUCCCGUGGCCCAGAAGGAAGAUUUUGUUAUAAAAGAAAAAAAGUAUUUUUGCCAGGGCAAAAUAGGCCCGCCUCCUGGCUUUCUCUUUAAAAAGGGAAAAACAGGGGCGCCUGGGCGGCUCAGUAGGUUAAGCCUCUGCCUUCGGCUCAGGUCAUGAUCCCAGGGUCCUGGGAUCGAGCCCCGCAUCGGGCUCUCUGCUCAGCGGGGAGCCUG